GAUGGCGACCGGCGCACGGGUGAGUAACGCGUAUGCAACCUGCCUGAUACCGGGGUAUAGCCCAUGGAAACGUGGAUUAACACCCCAUAGUACUUUUAUCCUGCCUGGGAUGGGAGUUAAAUGUUCAAGGUAUCGGAUGGGCAUGCGUCCUAUUAGUUAGUUGGCGGGGUAACAGCCCACCAAGACGAUGAUAGGUAGGGGUUCUGAGAGGAAGGUCCCCCACAUUGGAACUGAGACACGGUCCAA
rnacentral:rRNA from 1 species